rnacentral:lncRNA from 1 species
GCUGUAAACACCAGCAAUUCCCAAUGGUUUAACAGAAUCAUUCCUCCUCUGACCACAUAAUUGCUAAAUUGUGCAUGUCAAAUGGCUUCAGGAUAUUCGUCCCCCUUUCCAGCAGGUUUAUCAAGGAAAACUUGCUGGAGAAUGGUGUUGUUUGUGUGUCCUUUAAGUCGGGAACUCAAAGGUCAAUAGUUGCCAAAAGCAUUUUCACUGAGUAACUGCUUCUUUUCCCAAGCUCUGCAACGUGCUGUCUCAACCAGUGAUCCUUAUCAGUUAUUUCUAAAUGUGUGCAUUUCGUUUGGAAGCCAACACCAGCGUUUACAUCCAAGCUUGAUUAUCAUUCAUCACACGAUUGUUUAUAUCAUGCCUAUACACCAAAUCAACAAGUGUCUUGUCUGGUGCUGAAGCUGCAGCCCCAGCUUCUAUUGGAGUCUCUGGCCAGCAUUGGGGAGCUCUCACAGCCACCCCUGCUUGACCUGGUCCAGUCUGGACAAACACGUGCAUGCUAUGCCUCUGUGUCUCAUGAAACUGUACUAUACCUGCUGGACUGAAUGGAAAUCGACAGAUUCAUCUCCUGAGGAUGGCCGUAUCUGUGGUGGACAAGCAAGUCCUCCUCUACAUCCAAAAGAAGCUUGAUCUUACCCUUUAGAAUCCAUUUUACAUCAAAGUGGGGAACCUGGAAAUAUUGAAUGUCCUCUGAGUUCAUGGGGCUUUGGCAGUGGGAAAGCUAAACAAAACGGAGCACAGAGAGAGUGUGAGACAGACUUUCCCAAGAUCCCCAGGUGGGUUUCAUAUACUGCCUACCUCAAGAGUGAGUCUGGUUCAGCUUCCCACAGUGGCCAUAAGGGCCAAAUUAUCUUACCCCAGCUAUUGUUCGCUGCUAGAGCCAGAUCUACAAAG